CGUCAAGUCAUCAUGGCCCUUAUGUCCAGGGCUACACACGUGCUACAAUGGGUGGUACAACGUGCUGCGAGGCCGCGAGGCUAUAGCGAAACACGAAAGCCAUCCGUAGUUCGGAUUGAAGUCUGAAACCCGACUUCAUGAAGUUGGAAUCGCUAGUAAUCGCGCAUCAGCAUGGCGCGGUGAAUACGUUCCCGGGCCUU
rnacentral:rRNA from 1 species